rnacentral:rRNA from 1 species
UACGGGGGGGGCAAGCGUUGUUCGGAAUUACUGGGCGUAAAGGGCUCGUAGGUGGCCAACUAAGUCAUACGUGAAAUCCCUCGGCUUAACCGGGGAACUGCGUCUGAUACUGGAUGGCUUGAGUUUGGGAGAGGGACGCGGAAUUCCAGGUGUAGCGGUGAAAUGCGCAGAUAUCAGGAGGAACACCGGUGGCGAAGGCGGAUCUCUGGGCCAUUACUGACGCUGAGAAGCGAAAGCGUGGGGAGCGAACAGG